rnacentral:rRNA from 1 species
GACGAACGCUGGCGGCGUGCUUAACACAUGCAAGUCGAACGCUGAAGCUUGGUGCUUGCACUGGGUGGAUGAGUGGCGAACGGGUGAGUAAUACGUGAGUAACCUGCCCUUGACUCUGGGAUAAGCCUGGGAAACUGGGUCUAAUACUGGAUACGACAUGUCACCGCAUGGUGGUGUGUGGAAAGGGUUUUACUGGUUUUGGAUGGGCUCACGGCCUAUCAGCUUAUUGGUGGGGUAAUGGCUCACCAAGGCGACGACGGGUAGCCGGCCUGAGAGGGUGACCGGCCACACUGGGACUGAGACACGGCCCAGACUCCUACGGGAGGCAGCAGUGGGGAAUAUUGCACAAUGGGCGGAAGCCUGAUGCAGCGACGCCGCGUGAGGGAUGACGGCCUUCGGGUUGUAAACCUCUUUCAGCACGGAAGAAGCGAAAGUGACGGUACGUGCAGAAGAAGCGCCGGCUAACUACGUG